UUUCCUUUAGCUCAGCUGUCUCUACUUGGCUGCGAUUUAUUUGGUGCUGGGCUGCUUCUCCUCGGUUGGGGUCUUAGAGAAAGGAGAAGAAGCGCAAGACCGAGAAACUGCUAAGCGCAAUCGACGAAGGUGUCAUGACUUGCAGGUUAUGACAACAGGGCAAAAAAAAAUGCUAGAGUAUCAGGGAAAUGAUUAUGUCCAUACCGUGAACGAAGCUACCGUACGCGAGCAAGAACAGUCAGACUUGGCAUUAAGCAUGUCAAAGGAAUGCUGCUCUAUGGACCUCCUGGUACUGGCAGUACUCUAAAGGCUCAUCAGAUUGGGAAGAUGUUAAAUGGAAAGGACCCAAAGGUCCAACCUUUUGGCGAUUAAUUAUAGAUUGUCAAUGGACCAGAAGUCUUGAGUAAAUUUGUUGGAGAAACAGAAAAGAAUGUAAGGGAAUUAUUUGUCGAUGCUGAAGAAGACCAAAGAUCAUGAGGGAAUGAAAGUGACCUGCAUGUUAUCAUUUAUGAUGAAAUCGAUGCCAUCUGUAAGACCAGAAGUUCCACUAAAGAUGGUACUGGAGUUCAUGAUAGCAUUGUCAACCAGCUUCGUACAAAGAUAGAUGGUGUGGAAGCUCUAAAUAAUGUUCUACUCAUCGGAAUGACGAAUAGGAAAGAUUUGCUUGACGAAGCUCUUUUAAGACCUGGGCGUUUAGAAGUACAAGUACAGAUUAGCCUUCCUGCUGAGAAUGGCCGCCUGCAAAUCAUUCAAAUCCAUACAAACAAGAUGAAAGAGGGUUCUUUUCUUGCCCCAGAUGUGAACUUGCAAGAGCUUGGUAAUUAAGACAUGAUUUUUGUUGGUUUGUUAUUGACUCAGUAAUGGCAGAAGGAUACUGGAGGUUCCGAGCAGACUCGUGAUGGAUUUCGUAGAAUAAGAGGAGCUGUGUGGUGGUUGGUAAUCCAAUUAUGUUCAAAAAGAAUCUACAACCCACUACGGAAGAGCUUGGAAGAAGCCACUGGCUUCGUCAUCAUAUUUAUCAUCGGUAGAACAGGAGAUAAAGCAAAUGUGUCAGAACAUGUGAGGGAGGUGGCAAAAUUUAAUGAAUUCAUGCUCUUGGAUAUCAAAGAUGAGUAUAGUUGUCCUUCUUUAAAGCCGCCUAUGCACUUUAUGAUUAUGAAUUCUAUGUCAAAGCUGAUGCCGACAUAUAUUUGAGGCAAGUUCAGAACCUCAGGAGCCUCAGAGAAGCAAGUUAUGGUCAUUGGAUAAUUGCCUGUUGUAUUUGGCUCCCACUGGAAGCCCAUCAUUUGUGAAUCUUAUAUUAAAUUCGACAGACAAUGAUACAAACACAUGACAACGCAGGGUUUUGGAUCUUAAUGCGCAAGAUAAGGAUGGCUCCUUCAACUUAUUUGUGUUAAACUCGUACAUUGAAUUUUUACAUAAUGGACCGGUCAAAAAAAAAAUUCUCAAAGGAGAAUGAGUCUAUCUUCUGAUUCUAUACUCGAACAUACACCGGAUAGAAGGAGUUUGUGUUUAAACUCAAUCCGGAUAACUCAAAAUGAGUGGCCUCAUUCAAAAUUAUGUUUUUGCUGUCAUUUUAAUAUCAGAUUCUAAUUUGGAAAAACCCUAAGAAAGUUUUUGUCUUUAUAUCGAGACGUAUUUUGAUGGUUAGCAGCACGUUUUGACACACACGUACUA